AACGAACGCUGGCGGCAUGCCUAACACAUGCAAGUCGAACGAGACCUUCGGGUCUUGUGGCGCACGGGUGCGUAACGCGUGGGAACCUGCCCUUAGGUUCGGAAUAACUCCCCGAAAGGGGUGCUAAUACCGGAUAAUGUCUUCGGACCAAGAAUUUUUGGCUUUGGAUGGGCCCGCGUUGGAUUAGCUUGUUGGUAGGGUUAAAGGCUACCAAGGCGACGAUCCAUAGCUGGUUUGAGAGGAUGAUCAGCCACACUGGGACUGAGACACGGCCCAGAAUCCUACGGGAAGCAGCAGUGGGGAAUAUUGGACAAUGGGCGAAAGCCUGAUCCAGCAAUGCCGCGUGAGUGAUGAAGGCCUUAGGGUUGUAAAGCUCUUUUACCCGGGAUGAUAAUGACAGUACCGGGAGAAUAAGCUCCGGCUAACUCCGUG
rnacentral:rRNA from 1 species